GCCGAGAUAGCUCAGUUGGUAGAGCAGGGCAUUCGUAAUGCUCAGGUCGCCAGUUCGACUCUGGCUCUCGGCU
rnacentral:tRNA from 1 species